rnacentral:rRNA from 1 species
CUACGGGAGGCAGCAGUGGGGAAUAUUGGACAAUGGGGGAAACCCUGAUCCAGCAAUGCCGCGUGUGUGAAGAAGGCCUGCGGGUUGUAAAGCACUUUCGGUUGGGAGGACUGCUUCUAGCACUAAUAUUGUUGGAAGUUGACGUUACCUUCAGACGAAGCACCGGCUAACUCCGUGCCAGUAGCCGCGGUAAUACGGAGGGUGCAAGCGUUAAUCGGAAUUACUGGGCGUAAAGCGCGCGUAGGCGGCUAGAUCAGUCGGGUGUGAAAGCCCCGGGCUUAACCUGGGAACUGCAUCCGAUACUGUCUAGCUUGAGUACAGGAGAGGAGAGUGGAAUUCCACAUGUAGCGGUGAAAUGCGUAGAUAUGUGGAGGAACACCAAUGGCGAAGGCAGCUCUCUGGCCUGAUACUGACGCUGAGGUGCGAAAGCGUAGGGAGCAAACAGGAUUAGAUACCCGUGUAGUC